CUACGGGGUGCAGCAGUGGGGAAUAUUGCACAAUGGAGGAAACUCUGAUGCAGCAACGCCGCGUGGAGGAUGACACUUUUCGGAGCGUAAACUCCUUUUAUAUAGGAAGAAGAUGACGGUACUAUAUGAAUAAGCGCCGGCUAACUCCGUGCCAGCAGCCGCGGUAAUACGGAGGGCGCAAGCGUUAUUCGGAAUCACUGGGCGUAAAGAGCGUGUAGGCGGAUUAAAAAGUCAUAAGUGAAAUCCUAUAGCUUAACUAUAGAACUGCUUCUGAAACUCUUAAUCUCGAAUGUGGGAGAGGUAGAUGGAAUUUCUGGUGUAGGGGUAAAAUCCGUAGAGAUCAGAAGGAAUACCGAUUGCGAAGGCGAUCUACUAGAACAUUACUGACGCUGAGAUGCGAAAGCGUGGGGAGCAAACAGGAUUAGAUACCCGCGUAGUC
rnacentral:rRNA from 1 species